UUGAAUUGGCAAAUACUAUAAAACAAGCCACAAAAAUAUAAUAUUUCAUUAUAUCUAGACAAAAAGGCAUGUAAUAAUCUAUAUUAUUAAUGUAUGAACUACAUAAAAGAUAAAAUUAUAUUGUUUGAAUUAUAUAAUUAAUAUCAUUAAAACUAGUCCUAUCGAAUACCCACAAUAACAAAAUAAGAGAUACAUAAGUUUACAAAAAAAAUUCCGCAACUCUUCAUCGCAUUGAAAUCUUCCAAAUGCUAAAUUUUUGGACAUUAUUUGUAUGACCUGAAAUAACAAUAAAUAUAUGUUAAGAGAUGAAAUCAAGUGAAAAAAAUAGUAAUGCUAGAUGUAAAUUUCUUCUGAAAGUAGCUGCCAAAUUCAACCAAUUAAAAUGAAUCACAACAGCUGGUAGAACAUUGAAAAAAAUUAUUUAACAAAACCUACAAUUGCUCAACCUUUCAUUCAUUACAUCUUGAUCAAUUUAGGAAACAAGCAAAUGAAAGAGAAUGAUCAUUUAACAAAGUUCACUAAUCCGUAAAAUUGUGCUACUCAGGCCCAAAAACCUGGAUCAUCUAGUUACUGCUCGAAAAACCAAACCUUUUUAAUUCUCCUUUUCAGUGACACACGUAGCACCAUAGAUGUAUUAGACAACUUAAUUUUAUCAUUAUAGUUAAAAAUCAGCUUAGCAUAAUCUUAAUCACGUAAAUCGGUUGACCGCUAGAAGUAUCGGGACAAAGCUAGUAGAACAAUAGCCUCUUAAAAAUAACAAAGACAACAACAUGGCAUAGGCAGAACAUUGAUGUUGCUUCAGGUGUCACCUAUGAAAGGCGUGAUGAGAUUUGUAAAGAAGGACAAGCUUAACCUUAGCAAUUUAAGAAACCAUAACAUAAUUUUUAUUGUCGGAGUGUGUUGUUUAUCACAUUAUAUCUAUUUUCAAAGAAACUUCUUUUAAGAAUACUCAAUAAAAAUAAAUAAAGGGUAUUUUCUUGGAAGCAAUAUGGCAUAGGCAGAACAUUUUGAUCACAUAAUACAUAAAUAAAAUCUAUGCGAGCCCUUUCUACAGAGCAAGCCUAUAACACAAGAUAAAAUUCUGAUCCAAAUAAAUAGUACAUAUAGGAAGCAUCUUACAAUUGUACUAAAUGUGAGCUGCUUUGGCUUUUACGAUUAUAACUGCUUAUUUUCAUAUCUUAUCUGUAGUGUCUUUAAGGGCAAAAAGAAUACUAAAACAUCUGUUAAAGAUUUGAAAAAGGUAAAAUGUUUCAAAAUAAACUAAGGGGAGAAAAUAACAACCCAGUUAAAUUUCACAAGUGAGUUCUGGGGAGGGUAGUGUGUACGUAAACCUUAUCCCUACCCCGAAGGGGUAGAGAGGCUGUUUCCGAAAGACCCUCGGCUCAAGUUAAUAAGAAGAUAAAAUAAGAAAAUAUUAGAUUCACCACGAAAAUCAUAGAGUAAAAGGAACAUAGAAAGCAUGAAAGAUAAAAAAUUCAAAGGAAAAACGAUGGUUUGUAAAUGAAUCAUGCAUCGAAAAAUAGAAAAUAGUAAAACACAACAUUGCCCCUAGCUAUCUUAGACAAAACCCCACCGAACUAGGCUCACAAAGGUACAAAGUAACGCAAGAGUCAACUACCUCCUAGCCUACAACCGUAAUAUGCGACUUCCAUAACUUCCUAUCAAGUGCCAUGUCCUCGGAAAUCUGAAGCCUAGCCAUAUCCUGCCUGAUCACCUCUCCCCAAUACUUCUUAGGCCGCCCUCUACCUCUUCUCGUGCCUUCCACGGCCAGUCGCUCACACUUUCUUACUGGAGCAUCUGGGCUUCUCCUCUGUACAUGUCCGAACCAUCUGAGCAUCGCUUCCCGCAUCUUGUCAUCAAUAGAGGCCACGUGCACCUUCUCUCGAAUGUCAUCAUUCCUAAUAUUAUCCUUUCUAGUGUGCCCACACAUCCACCUCAACAUCCUCAUUUCUGCUACUUUAAUCUUUUGGAUAUGUGAGUGCUUAACAGGUCAACACUCAGCCCCAUACAUUAUGGCCAGUCGACUCAACUACCUCCUAACCUAACGACAAUCGUUAUACGCGAUUUCAAUUUUUAGGGAUGGUUGCUCUCUUAGGCAGCACAGUCUAUGAUGCCUAAACAUCUAACACAAGGGUGAUAGAGUACACUUUGAUCAUGUUCGCUUGACCACUUCUACAAUUAAGAUUUCCCAAUCACAUUAUGUCUCUAAAAUAUGGUGUUCCUUGCUAACUUGUGCAUAAUUAAAUUAAAAUGAGAAUCAAGUUAGCCUUGAAAAUUAUGUAGAAAUGAGGAAUUAUUUACUUUGCUCAUGACUUACCUUUUCACUAAAAAGAAAAAUCUUUCUUAGAUGUGCAAUUUUGAAGUCUUCCUCUUCACUUAAGAAACAUUAUAAAAGGAAAAUAGACCACAAUAACGAAGAGAUUAAGGGGACAAAAAAUAUAUUUCUCAUUUGAUAAAAAAUUUAAGCAGCAAAUAUUAGAAAUAUGAGUGGUUACCUCUAGAAUUGUCCACAUGAAUAUGAUGUUGUCUCAUUGAGAAAGAUCGAAAGAAGUUCAUUACUGUGCAAAAGAAAAUAUGAGCCACAAAAUUAUUUAUCACUCUACAAAUAUGAGUGGUUACCUCUAGUAAACUAAUACUUUUUCAUACUACACCUUGUGACUAAUGCUAUCAAAUCUCUAUUACUUAAAAAAUCUGUAAUUAAGUUGCCUUGCAAAUCAAAAUUAGACAUCUUAACUUACCGCAGAACCUUACAAUGCAGGACACCCGUUGUUUCAUCUCUAAAUUACCUUUUAGUUUGAUUCCUUUUUCUAAUUAAUGAAAAAUAUCAUUUGAAAAAACCUUCAUAACUCCAGAUUCAUCUUCUUUCUCUAAAUGUUAGAACCCAUCAUGCCUCAACAAUUAGAAGACUAAAUUUUCUAAAAAAUAAAAUAUCAUAUUACACAUUGCAAAGAAAUACACAUUCCUACAUAAACCCAACCACGUCAGCGCCUCCGUCCCCCAUUACACUAAGAUUAGGUCUCAGAUGAUUAACCUAGAAACUUUUCCACAUCUCAUCAACCAUGAAAUUCUCUAACCUGUAUUAUAAUUCCCUUCUCCGAGUUUUUUUUUACACACUCCAUCAAAUCUUAUCUUAUCAAGCAAUAGAUCUUAAGAGAGAAAGAUAGAGUAGGGGGAGUAGGGUGUGUGACCGAGAGAGCGAGAGAGAUGUGAGUUGGGUUACCUUGGGUUGAGGGUCAGCAAUGAUUAGAGAAAUGAGAUUGGUAGCGGCGCGACUAAGAGAGAUGAAAGUCGUUUUGCUUAUUUUCUCUAUCUAAAUUUUUCUUUAAUUGAAUCUAUUCAAAUUAUGAGAAAAUAUUUAGAGGGAAUAGGUUAUUGUCGUGAAAAAAAUGGAAGGGAAAGAUGAAAUAAUAUAAAUUGUGUUCAAUUGUUGAAUUUGGUCAUUCCGUUUAAUUGACAGUAAAAGAGCACUUUUUCCUAGCAAAUAUUGAUCUACCACUAAUAUCUCAAUUUUAGGAAUACUAUAUCGUCAAUAAGAUUAUGGCCGCUAAAUAAUAGUUGGUAAAAGCUAUUUUUGUUGUAGUGC
rnacentral:lncRNA from 1 species